ACGGCGAGUGAAGCGGGACUAGCUCAGGAUGUGAAUCUGCGCUUUAUUGGCGCCGAAUUGUGGUCUGUAGACUUUGACGUUAUCUGCCGGGCCAAGUUCCUUGGAAAAGGACAGCUGAGAGGGUGAGACUCCCGUCCGCCUGGUUGAGUGAGUCAUUUGUCAACGAGUCGAGUUGUUUGGGAUUGCAGCUCUAAUUUGGUGGUAAAUUCCAUCUAAAGCUAAAUAUUGGUGGGAGACCGAUAGCGUACAAGUACCGUGAGGGAAAGAUGCAAAGAACUUUGAAAAGAGAGUUAAAGAGUACCUGAAACUGCUGAAACGGAAGCGAAGGAAACCAGUGUUUGUUUGUUCAUAUUUCCCUGGCCACUUGUGGUUUGGGCGCUGUGAGCUUGCGUGAGUUUGGGUUGGUUGAUCCCUUUGGAAGAGCGCAGUCAGAGUUGAUGUCUGUUGCUAGCACUGGGUUUGACUGAUGCAGACGAAAUGGUUUUCUUUACCCCGUCUUGAAACACGGACCAAGGAGUCUAACAUAUGUGCGAGUACAGGGGUGUCAAACCCCGGUGCGUAAUGAAAGUGACAGUGGUUGGAAUUUUGCACAAUCCGCCGGCCUCAAUCCUUCGGGAGAACGGUCUGAGUGUGAGCAUACAUGUUGGGACCCGAAAGAUGGUGAACUAUGCCUGAAUAGGGUGGAAGCCAGGGGAAACUCUGGUGGAGGCUCGUAGCGAUUCUGACGUGCAAAUCGAUCG
rnacentral:rRNA from 1 species